UACGGAGGAUGCAAGCGUUAUCCGGAUUUAUUGGGUUUAAAGGGUGCGUAGGCGGGAAGUCAAGUCUGUGGUGAAAAGUCCGGGCCUAACCUGGAUCGUGCCAUGGAAACUGUCUUUCUUGAAUAGUGGUGCCGUUGGCGGAAUGUGAAGUGUAGCGGUGAAAUGCUUAGAUAUUACACAGAACACCGAUUGCGAAAGCAGCUGACGAACCACCGAUUGACGCUGAUGCACGAAAGUGCGGGUAU
rnacentral:rRNA from 1 species